AAAAGGAACACCUGACACGAAUCCCUGUGGUUGACAGCCAUAUUCUCUGAGAAUUCCAAUGAGUUAGCUCAGGGGGAUGCAUACCUGAAGAACAACUGGUCUCACUAUCACAGACUGAGGC